AAAACGACUCUCGGCAACGGAUAUCUCGGCUCUCGCAUCGAUGAAGAACGUAGCGAAAUGCGAUACUUGGUGUGAAUUGCAGAAUCCCGUGAACCAUCGAGUCUUUGAACGCAAGUUGCGCCCUAAGCCUUUUGGCCGAGGGCACGUCUGCCUGGGCGUCAAUC
rnacentral:rRNA from 1 species